GAUGAACGCUGGCGGCGUGCCUAAUACAUGCAAGUCGAGCGAACAGACGAGGAGCUUGCUCCUCUGACGUUAGCGGCGGACGGGUGAGUAACACGUGGAUAACCUACCUAUAAGACUGGGAUAACUUCGGGAAACCGGAGCUAAUACCGGAUAAUAUAUUGAACCGCAUGGUUCAAUAGUGAAAGACGGUGUUGCUGUCACUUAUAGAUGGAUCCGCGCCGCAUUAGCUAGUUGGUAAGGUAACGGCUUACCAAGGCAACGAUGCGUAUCCGACCUGAGAGAGUGAUCGGCCACACUGGAGCUGGGACGCGGACCAGGCGCCUAAGGGAGGCAGCAGUAGGGAAUGUUCCGCAAUGGGCGAAAGCCUGACGGAGCAACGCCGCGUGAGUGAUGAAGGUCUUCGGAUCGUAAAACUCUGUUAUUAGGGAAGAACCAAUGUGUAAGUAACUAUGCACGUCUUGACGGUACCUAAUCAGAAAGCCACGGCUAACUACGUG
rnacentral:rRNA from 1 species